rnacentral:rRNA from 1 species
UACAGAGAGUGCAAACGUUGUUCGGAAUUACUGGGCUUGAAGCGCACGUAGGCGGCGUUGUAAGUGUCGGGUGAAAUCCCACGGCUCACCCGUGGAACUGCCCGGCAUACUGCGAUGCUAGAGUGUGGUAGGGGAGAGCGGAACUCCUGGUGGAGCGGUGAAAUGCGUAGAUAUCAGGAGGAACACCGGUGGCGAAGGCGGCUCUCUGGUCCACAACUGACGCUGAGGAGCGAAAGCGUGGGGAGCGAACAGG